rnacentral:lncRNA from 1 species
GUUGGGAGAUCCCAGGAUGGAAUAUGGAAUGUCACAGAAGAACCUGACUGCAUCAUGAAUGCAUGAAACAGCCUCACUGAAGAUGGUGCGGGGAAGCUGCUGACCUGGGUGGAUUUGGAAAUGAGUGGAGUCCGUGAGACUAAAGGAAGGAAGCUCUGACACAUACCAGGACGCGGAUGAACCAUGAAGACAUUAGGCUAAGUGAAAUAGUAAGCCGGAUGCAAAAGAACACAUAAUAUGAUUCCACUUACAUGGGGUCCCUGGAGGAGGCAAAUCAUGGAGAGGGAAGAGCAUGGCUUCAUUCCCCUCGGAGUGCUGGAAAUCUAAAUGAAGGCAAACCAAAGGCAAUUUUUCCUAGAAAAUGGUGGACGGAUGGUUCUGCCAGUCUGUGGGGUUCCUGGGGCCCUCCCCAGGGCUCCUUGUUCAUGGGGAUGUGCCCACACUGCCACGCAUGCCCAGCACUGCUCCAGCAACGCUGCAAAACGCGGAACCCAGGAAGACCAGGAGGAAGAUGUCCAGCAUCCCACCAGCAGGGACACAGAUGGUUGAUAAACUUUCUUCCUUUCUCUCGAUUUACCGGCCUGAUUUUGUGACAGGAAUAUGGAAGAAAAGCUCAAACCUCUCACCAUAAACCUUUGAGGACUCACUGGUGACAGUCUCCUGACACCCUCUUCCCAGAGCUCGAGUGGAACCGCCCCACAGUGAGAACGACGCAGCCGAGGGAGGGUUUCAGCAGCGUCUCCUUCAGAGACGGGAACUUUGUUCCCCGGCGGCCACCUUAGCGGAAAGACCUAGUGCUCGUGAGACUCAUGAGAGGAUGGCGUGUCCCCGAAGCCUAUCACAACAAAGGGGCUCCUCAGAGCAUUUCCCAGCAGGAGGCAGAUCCGAGGACAAGACACAAAGGUGCAGUUCAGAGGAGGUUGGGUGGGUGGGCCCUUUCUUCCUGCAGCAUCUGAAAGUCAUCUGAUCAAUCAAGCUGACACCUUCUCCCACGAGGAGAAGCGAAGACUCACAUUGUCAAGGAGCCUUUGAAGUACAAAGAUCUUUUUUCAAUAUAUAGAAUUCCUACGUUACUAAGAUAAAUGGGGGAAGAGUUGACAUUUAUUGCGCAUAAUUUAAAUUCAAAUUGGCUCCCAGUAAAGGAAAAUUACAAGAUAUUCUGAACUGUUUGCCUUCAGUUCUGCUCCCUUUGCUGAAAUGAGGGGUCUAAACUGCUUUAGAUCUGCCUUAAUUUUUAUAAUUUAGACAACAAAACUGUACUAUGGAAUAUCAGGAAACAAAUAUUUUUAUUUUUCAAAUGAAGUUACCCC